AGGGGACACUUGCUCCAUGACACACAGCACUGGGCACAGGCACGGGGAGGGGGCACAGGGUACCUCAGAGGGCUGGUCUGCAAACUGUAAUCCAGCAAGGUGCUGUGGCCAUGGGUGCUAUGAAACUGCCUGCCUGCCUUCUUGCAGCCACACCAUCUGGGCAAUAUGGGAGACAGGUGGAAGACAGCUUUAAUUAGGACUUGGCCAUAAAGCACCAGGAUGUUAUCAACAAGAUCACAUGCAAAGGGACACCUUACCCCUCUGAGCAAGAGGUGCUGGGCUGGUGCCAAGCCCAGGGAAAGCCAGCAAAGUCCCUGCGAGCAGCAGCAAAGCUGAAAGUUGUCUCGGUUUUAUCUCUUCCCACAGGAGGAAAUUGCUAGACCAAGACAGGGAUUUGUUCCUGCUUUAUGUUCGUGUUCAGCCUGGGAAGCUGAAGUCUUCCAAGGAAGCAACCAAUAAGUAAAAGCCAGCUGUCUGUUUGCAGAGAAGCAAAACUUCAAGAAAAGGUUGAACUUUUCACAAAUGGAAAAUUUGGAGCUAAAUCCAAGCAUGGUUUCAGGAAACCCUGAUAUUAGUAGAGCUUCGUUUCUUUCAGGGAACAAUGCUAAUUCCUGCAGUUCAUGAUACAGUCUCUAGCUCUAAAAUCUCUUAAUGCUGCCACAAACAAUAUUACAGUGCUCACUUGGGGUGUGUCAAAGAUUUCUACAAGCCAGACAAUAAUAGAUUGAAAACAUCAUUUACAAUAAGUAAGCAAUGUUACAUAGUAGGACUAAAGCUUGAAAGGGAAAAAUGAAGCGCAAAACUGUCUGGCACAGUGGAAAACUACAGUAUAAAUCAACUCCUGCUCUCACUUAUGAUGGAUCUCCUGCUCUCACUUAAGGCAGGCGUACAGAAAGAUGUAAAUGGGAAGCAAACAUUUAGGCCUUAAUUUACUCCUGUAGCUCCACUGACCAGAUGUAAAAUGUACUGUUGAUAUGUUCUCUGAAAAGCAGGUUACAAAAUCUGGAUGUCACAAUCUUAGCCUUCUCUUCAUGUUUUCUUGUGUUCUAAAUAGUCCUGAAAUACAAUUUCUGUAUCUUCUCUGCAGUUUUAUACUGGUCUAAAUAGACAAAUAAAGGUACGUUUAUAUAGUGGAUUUAAAUUAAAGUUACUUUGGUCAGGGUAGACUAACGGGAUCUAAAAAAUGCCUUUGCAAAUGGAAACAAACUAAAAAGCAACCAACCAAACAUUAAAAAAACAACAACAACAACAAAAAACCACACCUGCCUUUAGUUCUACUUUACAUGUUCGUUUUGCACACGCUUCAUAGCUAAAACAUUCACAUUCAUCCUGGGGACUUGUAGAUCUUUACAGAUCCCUGGCUCUCUUAACAUAUCACCACAAGGUGUUUGACUUAGCUAAAAUGGGUGAGUGUGUGAUGGCAUUACCAAGUGUUAUGAGUCAAGUCAUACACAAAGUCUUACUGAGAGUCUCAUGAUUUUUAAAUAAGCAUGUGAUUUGGAGGGGAGGCCCAAGACCCAGAAUGACUCCUAGACUGUUUGGAGUUGGCACUAUUAUAUUAAGGUGCCCAGAUAUGAAAUGAUGUAUAUUAUAAUGUAAAUCAUAAAUUUCUGAAUAAGAAUAUGGCACAUAUUUAUGUACAUGUUUGUGUGUGCCUACUAUCAUUUUGGACCUUUGACAUAAUAAUUCAUGCUCAGAAGUUUAAGUGGGAACAUGUAAUACUCAUUCAAAGGCUUUUGCUCAAACCAGUAGUUGUCAAUUACUGUGUCUGUAGUAAGCAACUGAGGGUAUCUUGGAAGCCCUCUCCUUAUCUUUGACUAACCUGUAGUUUAUGUCAGGGGCUACAGUUAGGUAACGUGACUGACAGCUCUCAUAACCCUCACCUAAGAGAUAUCAUCUCUUUAGGAAUUAAGAGUAGGCUUAGUCCUGCCAAAUCAGUUUCACUUGUGUUACGACCCAAGUUACGAUUCUGAAUGUUGUUUCCUACUGAACAGAAGGGUGGAAAAGAAGAGUAACAACAAAGUAAUGUAAUCCCUCUCUGAAUGCCUGGUUCCUGUUGGGGAACCUCCCCCCUCUGAAACUACCAGCUAUUCUGCAAAGCAGUCACAACCAGUGCCCUCUAAAACUGUCUGCUGUUCCCCAAAUUGUAACUCCUUUCUGUGAAAAGGCUUUAGGUAUGGCUAAGCCAAGCAAAAUCUGUUAAGAAUAUUAAAAGAGCAAUCCAACUACUGUGAAAGAAAAACAACAUACUUCAGUUUUGGUUCUGGAGAACUGUAGAAAUCACUUUUAGCACAUAUUGGAAAGGAGCCUGACUACACUCUGAAGUGCAAUAAAGCAAUGCAGAGCUCCUCUGCCUGAGGUUCUGCCCUCCGACUUGAAGUCCUUCACCUGAGUGUCAAGGGUGUGCACAACAUAGGGAUGAUCUGGAACUGUGGCUAAAGAUUAACUGGACUCAACAAAAGAUGAAAAAAUCUUUGGGCAAAAUAUUAACACAUCAGAUUGGCUGCAUUUUCUUCCAGAACUGUCCGCCUGUAGAACAUAGUAACCACUAUAAAACUAGAGUUUACUCUGCUUUUUUUUUUUUCUUGGACUGUAUUAAAAGUAGAUCACUAUUUCAGUCUUCAUCUCUCUGUCUUAAUGAGGAGUGGGGACAUGACGUAUGUGCAGGUUCUAAUUUAACCUAAUUAAAAAUAAGAAUAUUACCAGUGUCAGUAUGCAGCUUGAAAAGAUAAUUGCUUCAAAAAUUGUGUGUAAGAAAAAAUAAAUUGAAUUUAGAAAAUGAAAAAUGCAACACAGAAAGAUGUAUGCUUUCUAAUAGCUCCUUUUACAGUAGCUAAUUAACCUCUUAGGUUUUGAAAGCUGUUUAUGAAAUGUUCUGUCUGUAUCAAGGAGAUUUUUUAAUGUUCUUUUUAAUCAUGAAUUCUUCUGUCUUGGCUUUUCCUCUCCUUUGGAAUAUUCGGUUCUUCUUCCUUCCUUUAUCCCUUGGACCUCAGGUUUGUCUGCUCUAAAACUGAAAUAGCACCAAUAGUUUCGUUCUUCAUUGUCUAUGAAUUCUGUGAAUCUGAUGAACAGUUGCACAGUUUCUGCGACUGGUUAAUUAUUCCAAAUAAUGACUGUUAUAUAAACAGUUUUGCCUAUAAGUUCAUUGUUUUAUCUUGUAUCUAGACCUUAAACUUAGGUGCUUCUUUUCGUGUGUGUGUGUGCUUUUUUGAUAAUAUUUUCUAGAGUAAUGUGUAUACAUGUUAAAACAACAGCAACAGCAACAAAACAGGUUUUUGUAAGAGAUUUUAGUGACAGAAUAGUGACAGAAGUUUUUUUCAGGUAUCAGCAAGCAGAUUCUGUUCCUUACUCCUGAGAAGCUAAAUCCAAAGAAAGAAAGACAAGAUUUUCUUCUGAGAUGUGGUGUGACUACAGGUUCUGCUAUUUGUUUAUGUUGUUCCACCAGUUUACAUAGUCACAGCUGCUUAUUUAGUACAUAGGUAAUCCUGUAGCAAAAUAAUGUUAACACAGUCAUUCUUAUGACACUUCUGGGUCUGGUAUUAAGGAUACCAACAGAGGAGUGAGGGUAUCCCCGUGCUUCUUGGUCUUUGCCUGCCACUGAGCUCCACAGUGCCAGAAGAGUUCAGCUGCCUUAGGUGAUGACAAUAAGGAAAGAACAUUUACUGCAGGUUGUAGGUACUCAUCUAAGCACUAUGUGGUGUGCUGUAAUUGCAGGCUGCAUUAGGUCAUGCUUUGUCACAAGGCUUAUUCCAAACAGAAGUCGCUUCCAUUGGAUUGUCCUUGCAGCAGCAACGUAAAUGAACAAGCUUGGGCAGCUUUGCCAGAAAUGUCUAAAACUAAAUAAUUAGUCAACAGCCAUUCAUGCAGCAUAUGACAGAAGUGCUAUUAUUGUCAGGGAGAGUACGGAGCCUGUGAGUACAACUCACCACUCAAUCUGAACAGUUAGUUGAACAUAACACGCUUGUAAUAAUAUUUAAAGCUUAAUAUCUGAUGCGUGUAUGAGAGUCCAAAUUCACAUGACAUACAAGAAAAAAACAACGACUAGUACAUGAGAGACAUGAAUUCCUUUUAAGUUAGCUAAGGAAAUUGGCAGGUAGUUCUUAAGAACUUGAUUGUAUACAAAUCCCUUUCUGCUGCUGGAAAUCCAGCAGCAAUGUUCAAACUUUAGGCAAAAGAGCUCACAAGCUGCCUACAGACCUGUAGUCCUCAGGUAAUAAAGGAGGGGGAAAGAGCCCUCACUUAUUCCAAGUGCUCUGCAGCAUUUUGAGAAGAAAAACGAAUGUGAAUCCUAAGGAUAGUGGGCCACAGUGCUGAUACAGCAUGCCCUACAGAAGUAAGUUGGGUGCAAGGCCAUGAUGAUGCAGCUACGCUGUCAUGGGUUCCAGACACACUCCCUUUGCAGUUAGCUGAGACAGUUAGCUGGACUGUUUUCCACUGCCCAGUGUACAAAAUGCCCAAUGUUUGUAUAGCCCUUAGCAAAAUAGGACCCUAUUCUUGAUUGGCCUCAAAACAGCACAGUGAUUCUAAUUAUAAAUACCAGGGAAAUAAAUGAUCACAGAAGGCAUUUGAUGUAUUUUUUCCAGCAUGCAACAGCAGUACCAAUACGUACAAGAGCACAAUGCAAUCAGAUUCUGAUGUAUGCAAUAUAUUUUUAACACAAUGGACUUCAUCCAGACUUUUCUGGCACCAUCUUCUAUUGUCUUUCAUCACUUUGCAGUGAAGUCAUGUAGGGUACUCCAGACUUGAGGUGGCUGUGGUCUAGUGCUGAGAUUAAUGCUGAAUAAAAAUCAAGUUAGUUAGUAGAGCUUAAAUAACUGUUAGGCAAAUGAAUAUUUGUUUGUGUAAAGAAACAACUGCUGAAUAGAUGAAGUAAGUCAUUUUUGUCUCUGUCUUCCUAUAGUGUGCUGCAAAAUAAAUGCAGAUCUGAGAGAGAGACCCACUUCUGCUGCUGCCCACUCCUUUCUACUUUAAUAUUGUAAAUAAAUGAUUUGGAAAAAAACAAUAUCAUAAAAUAAUAAUAAUUAGAAUUCCACUGAUGUCCCUUUUAUGAUAAUAUAUUUGAGUUGUUCUUCAAAAAUCAAAUGAAGAAACUUCAGCCACAGUAGAGGUCUUAACCAAAAUUAAAGUCUUGUACUGAAAAUAUCAGCAUUUCUUAUGAGCUCACCUGGAGGGAGAUUAUGGGGCAACAAGUAAUGAGAUGGGUAAAGGACUGCUAUUCUUACUUCAUUUGGCCAAGAUCUACUCAACAUCUUGGAUUGUCCUCGUUUUUGUUGUGUAUUAAAAUGGUGCUAAGUGAGCUCAAGCAGGGCUUGGUGUUACAGACACUGUGAGACUGUCUCCUGGCAUUUUACAGUCAGAGGAGGAGUAGAGAGAAAGGAAUGAACUGGAGAGAACUUUUACAAUGCUCAUAAAACUGAUGUUAGAUCUGUGGGUGGCAUUUGCUGACAGCAUAGUCUGAAGGGACAAACAAACCAAAGGCAGAAGUGGUGAGGAAGGGAAAUGAAGAGAAAAAAAAGAGCAAGGAUGGAAAGAAGGAAACACAUGGUAGGCAAUGAAGUAAAGGUGAAGUGGCUGUGAAUAGCUAAUCACUGAAAAGAAAACAGUGUUGAAAGUAGAAGUACAUGGGAAAAAGCAGCACACAGAUAGAAUCAGUGAGUUGCUGAUAAUUCUUAGUCAAGCUGCUUUGGUUGCUUCACAUGCCAGCCUUGAGCUUCAGGCAGAAGAACAAUUGACUGUUACGACAGUCUGGAUUUAGUUCAAGGUGAAUUACGUGUGCAAUUUCAGGAUAAUUUAUCUUCGCCUGCCUUAAAAUCCAAAAGAAAGACACCGCCAACUUUUGUUCUAGCUUAACUAUUAAUUCUAUUGAUAAAAUUUUGUUAGUCAUCUUCAGAUUUAAAAAAAAAUCCAUGCAGUCAUAGUUAGAAUUCUAUGUAUAUAGAUACGAUUUACUAGGCACUCUUCUGACACAGGGAAAAUGAUACCAUUCCCCUAAACAUCAAAGAGAUUAAGACAGACAGCUCUUGGCAGAGGCCAACAGAAGGAGCAGCAAAGUAGGAGUAAGAUUUUUUCUCGGAUAACUGUGCCAGGAAGGAAAUCUUUCAGUGUUAAAGUUCAUAGAUUUGGUGAGCUUGCAAAGGGGGCUACAUGGGAAGAUGUUGUUUGACAUCGUAAGCCUCUUGUCUGGACCUACUAACACAUUCUCCUCCCUGGAGUUGAAGAAUCCAGGUCACCUUGUAAGUAGGCAAACUGCUGCUGCAGAAGUUUCUCCUUAGGUCGUUACAUCAGUAUCUCACCUUUUGCUUGCCAAGCUUGUUUAGUACCGCGGCAGGAGUCUUCUGAAAGAGAUUGCUGUGCAUCUUUGAGGACAAUGUUAAAAUUAAGCAAAUGAUGCCAGAGGUUUGUGUUUUGCUCUCUGCUGCCAUGAAUGAUCAGCAUGGGCAUAUGAUAAAGGGUAACCACUUAUUUGUGUGAGUGACUGAAAGCAGUUUUGCCAACGGGGAUGUUUGGAACAGCAUUUAAUCUGAAAAGAUAAUUAAUGUCUUCUUUGUUGUGCAACAGAAGCCUAUGGAAAGAGAAUCAUAUUGCAUCAUAUCUCUCAAUAACAUACAACUGGGUGGCUGAAAUUGGGUUUAACUAGACAGACAAAAAUAACUUCGGGAGGAGCAGAGAAAGGUUAUGGGUCAUGUGAUGCUGAUUUGUUUGUUUAAAGUUGACCUAUCCCUGGAGCAGAGAGUUUAAUGGGUUCCAGUAAGGACUUGCACCCAGCAUGCAGAGCUGCAAUUACUGUGGGAUGGUUCGAAGUCUGUGUGUGUGUGUGAGGCCUGGGUCAUGUCUGUUCGUGGGGGCAGCAGUAGCUUUCGCAGAGACUACAGAUCAGACUUCCUGAGCAUCCUUCCACUGCCCUGUGAUUGACAAUCAAUAAAAAGAGACAUGAGAUACACUGGGUGAAAAACAGGGCAUCUGAGAUUUCACUGAAGUUGUUCAAACUUGCAAGUAGAAAAAGAAAAGGAGUUUGUUGGCUAAGACAUUCUGAAUACUUUUCUCAUUUGUAUAAACCUGUAUGUAUAAACCUGUAAAUAAAGGUUAUGUUUCCCUUAAA
ensembl:lncRNA